AAUCACUGACCCAAGAUAACGGACGCUGUCCUUCUUGGCGAUGGCCUGAGAGCCAAUUAUCACGUCCCUGCCUACUUCGCUCGGAUCGGCGCUAAACUUGCACUCCAGGUAUUCUGUCUUAGAAAAAGUCCGAAUAUUUUAAAACUCAUAAUAAAAAUCACUAAAAAACUACUGAAAAUUCAUAAACAAUUCUUGUAGAAGUAGAGAAAUAUGUGAAAGCUAGAUCCUAGAGAGAAAGUCCCAGUAAAAUUCAACAAAAAAAAAAAACAGCUUUAA
rnacentral:lncRNA from 1 species